rnacentral:lncRNA from 1 species
UUUCCUAUUGAUUUAUAACCAGCUUAUUUGGAGGUUGCUUACAUUAAAUUGUGAGUAUAAUUAACUAAAGUUUUAAAGUAAACCUAGAAAAUGUAGUUCCCACAUUCAUAUAAUAUAUUUGCUAACCUUUUAUCUUUCAACUCUUAUUCUUUAUAUCAACUUCAAAUUUGUUAAAAAAUUCAUACUAUGUUGCUAGUAAUUAAACCAACUAUAAUGGCAAGAAGUCUAAGUAGCUAGCAAUAAUAUUUUUGCAUUUUGUUUUUUAUCAAAAAAUGAGAUCUUAAUAUAUUUUAUCCUUUGGGUCAUGCAAAAUAGGAAUGCCCUCAAA